UGUGGUUAAUCUGGCAUUAAUGACAUCCUAUGUGUCAAGCCCACAAUUUUUCUUAUCAUUUUUUUAAUUUUAUUCAUUAAUAUAUUAUCAGCUCUUAAGCCUAAUAUAUUCUCACCAAGUUCUUCAUGCUGUCAUUAAUACCUAAUUCCCAAUCUCCAAACACGAUAUUUAUUCAAUACACAAUCUCCAAGCCCUAAUCUCACUUCCCAAAAUGCAAGCCGUAAAAGAAAAAAGAAAAACGCUUGGAGUUCUACAAUUGCUUCUACCACUUCCCUAUGCAGCACGCUUCAUCAAUUCUUUUCCUUAACCAACUCUUUUAUAAAUAUGCAGAGAUCUCUGCUGAAAUUACAUCCCUAUCAUACUGCUUCUCAUCAUUAUUCAGUUCACGAAGAAUAAGACGUAGAUCUGUUUAUGGGUUGUGGUUUUGAUUUCAAGUGAAGAAGAAAAUAGAAAUCUGCUUGUGGGUUUCAAGUGAAGAAGAAGAUGGAGAUCUGCUUGUGGGUUGUGGAUUCGAUUUCAAGCCAAGAAAAAGAUCUACUGAAGUAAAAGGUUGAUUUAAACUAGAUGCGAUCGUGAACUUCGGUUUUUAUCGAUUUCAUUUGUGCUUAUUUUCUUAUUAGCUUAAAAGAAUAAAAAUUGAUUUGCAAGUAUUUGAUUUAUGAAAAGGCUCAUACUCAAAGUGUGGGUACGAUAAAGAGAAAGAGGAAUGGGGACUAAGCCUUCCAAAUGUAGAAGAAACAUGAAGAAGUAAUACACACUGUCAGAUGCGAGCCAAUGAAGCCAAUGAAGGCAAAAAAUGAAGCAGCUAAAGAUAUGCAAAAGGAAUUGGAAGAUUUUAAACAAGGAUGUAAAAAAAUUGAAG